rnacentral:rRNA from 1 species
AAUAGAUACCCCGGUAGUCCACGCCGUAAACUAUGGGUGCUAGCCGUCGGUCGGCAUGCCGGUCGGUGGCGCAGCAAACGCAUUAAGCACCCCGCCUGGGGAGUACGGGUCGCAAGAUUAAAACUCAAAGGAAUUGACGGGGGCCCGCGACAAGCAGUGGAGCAUGUGGUUUAAUUCGAAGCAACGCGAAGAACCUUACCAAGACUUGACAUCCCGCUGACCGCUCUAGAGAUAGAGUUUCCCUUCGGGGCAGCGGUGACAGGUGGUGCAUGGUUGUCGUCAGCUCGUGUCGUGAGAUGUUGGGUUAAGUCCCGCAACGAGCGCAACCCUUACAUUGUGUUGCCAUUCAUUUAGUUGGGCACUCACAAUGGACUGCCGGUGACAAACCGGAGGAAGCGGGGAUGACGUCAAAUCAUCAUGCCCCUUANGUCUUGGGCUACACACGUGCUACAAUGGGCGUACAAGGGAUGCGAAACCGCGAGUGGAGCCAAUCUCAUAAAGCCGUUCGUAGUUCGGAUUGCAGGCUGC